UACGUAGGGUGCAAGCGUUGUCCGGAAUUAUUGGGCGUAAAGAGCUCGUAGGCGGUUUGUUGCGUCGGCUGUGAAAUCCCGAGGCUCAACCUCGGGUCUGCAGUCGAUACGAGCAAACUAGAGUGUUGCAGGGGAGACUGGAAUUCCUGGUGUAGCGGUGAAAUGCGCAGAUAUCAGGAGGAACACCGGUGGCGAAGGCGGGUCUCUGGGCAACAACUGACGCUGGAGGCGCGGGAAGCGUGGGGAGCAAACAGG
rnacentral:rRNA from 1 species